UGGGGAAUAUUGCACAAUGGGCGCAAGCCUGAUGCAGCCAUGCUGCGUGUAUGAAGAAGGCCUUCGGGUUGUAAAGUACUUUCAGCGGGGAGGAAGGGAGUAAAGUUAAUACCUUUGCUCAUUGACGUUACCCGCAGAAGAAGCACCGGCUAACUCCGUGCCAGCAGCCGCGGUAAU
rnacentral:rRNA from 1 species